AGCUUUGUGCAGUGGCAGUAUUGUAGCCAAUGAGAUUUAUCCGAGGCGGGGAUUAUUGCUAAUUAAAUAAAGCGAUAUUCCCCAAUAGGCAGCUGAGGGAACUACUUUGUUAUUCCAGAUGAAU
rnacentral:snRNA from 14 species